rnacentral:rRNA from 1 species
GACGAACGCUGGCGGCGUGCUUAACACAUGCAAGUCGAACGGAAAGGCCCUGCUUUUGUGGGGUGCUCGAGUGGCGAACGGGUGAGUAACACGUGAGUAACCUGCCCUUGACUUUGGGAUAACUUCAGGAAACUGGGGCUAAUACCGGAUAGGAGCUCCUGCUGCAUGGUGGGGGUUGGAAAGUUUCGGCGGUUGGGGAUGGACUAGCGGCUUAUCAGCUUGUUGGUGGGGUAGUGGCUUACCAAGGCUUUGACGGGUAGCCGGCCUGGGAGGGUGACCGGCCACAUUGGGACUGAGAUACGGCCCAGACUCCUACGGGAGGCAACAGUGGGGAGUAUUGCACAGUGGGCGGGAGCCUGUUGCAGCGACGCCGCGUGCGGGAUGACGGCCUUCGGGUUGUAAACCGCUUUCGCCUGUGACGAAGCGUGAGUGACGGUAAUGGGUAAAGAAGCACCGGCUAACUACGUG